rnacentral:tRNA from 1 species
GGAAUGUGGUUCAAGUGGUAGUGCACUUGCCUAGCAUGCAUGAGACACUGGGUUCAAUUCUCAGCACCA